rnacentral:lncRNA from 1 species
CGAGACGUUGAUGCCAGAGAGUUGACGAUGCAGCCAGGAGAGCAUGAGGUGGAGCGCCAGGUGUGGAGGCAGGCAUGGUGUAUAGGUCCCCGUCGCAGUUACAACGGAGAAUCACGCGUUCCGUCCUGAGAUCCUUAAUAGAGAAACCAUGGGCGUCAAAUUCAAAGGAACAAUUGUUGUCGCGAGUGAAUUGACGAACGGAUAACAGGUUGCGGACUAUGGAUGGGGCGACAAGGAUAUUAUUAAGAGCAAAAUUUGUUGUAGGUGUAGGAAGGACGGAAUGACCUCUAGACAUAACAGGUAUACUAGUGCCAUUACCUACUGUUAUUGAGGAGAUGGAGGGGGGAAGGCGCUGAGUAAGCAUACCAUCCGAGAACGUCAUGUGCGUAGAGGCGCCGGAGUCAACAACCCAGGGCGAGUUGCCCUGAAGUUGCAUGUUUUGCAGGGCAGCGAUGAGGCCUGCUGCAUCCCAGGUGCUGGUGGAGGUGUUGGAGCUGCUGGAGGACGCCUGGAGUGGAGCGAAGGCGGUGUGGGCCUGCGGGGAAGACCCGAGAAUGCCCAGGGUGCGCCCAGCCUGGGCACCAGAACCUCCCUGGCGGCGCUGUCCAGGAGGGGUGACGCGCUCUCCAGGGGCCACACGUUCGCCAGUCCAGGGAUUAAAGCCCCAGGGAACACGUUUGUUGGUGCUGGUGUUGCCGGAGUUGUUGGAGAAGCUACCAGAGGUGUUGUAGAAGGGCUGGUGGCCGCCUUUUUUGGUAUUAGGGCGCCGACCGCCCUGCUGGUGCUGCUGCUGCGAACCACCAACAUUAGCUAGGAGGGCAGCAGCAGCACGCGUCUUCUCGUCGUUCCGCAGCCGCAGCUCUUUGAGGAGUAGCUGAUGGCGUGCGGUGGCGAGGGUGAGGGGCUGCUGUCCGGCGAUGUUGUCGGCGACGCCGGAGUAGACCUCGUUAAGUCCACGCAGCAGGUUGAGGACGAGGUUGGGCUCAGAUACGGGCUGCCCAACGUCGCGUAGUUCGUCGGCCUUCUCCUUCAUGCGAACGCAGUAGGCGUCAAUGGACAGGUCCCCUGAGUCAUCGAGUGAAACUCGUGAUUCAGGAAGAUGGCGCGGGGAGCUUUGUUUGCCUGGAACACCUCGCCGAUGGCCUUCCAAAGGGCGCUCGCAGUCUGGGUGCUGUCGGUCAUGGCGAGGUUGAGGACGGCGUCGGAGGUGGUGCUGUACAUCCAUCCGCGGACGCAGAAGUCAGCCUGUGCCCAUGCCGCAUCGGUGGGGCGCGAGGUGGAGAGGUGAUGCAGCAGCCCAAAUUUCCCACACGUGGCCUGAAACGUCGUCGACCACUUGGUGUAGUUGGAAGGUUUUGAUAGUCGCCUAGAGGGGGGGGGUGAAUAGGGCGAAACUGAAAUUUUCAAAUAUAAACACAACUACAAGCCGGGUUAGCGUUAGAAAUAUAAACGAGUCCGCGAGAGAGGGCGCAAAACAAAUCGCGAGCAAAUAAUGAAGUGUGACACACGGAUUUGUUUUACCGAGGUUCGGUUCUCUCAAACCUACUCCCCGUUGAGGAGGCCACAAAGGCCGGGUCUCUUUCAACCCUUCCCUCUCUCAAACGGUCCCUCGGACCGAGUGAGCUUCUCUUCUCAAAUCAAAGCCGGGAACAAAACUUCCCCGCAAGGGCCACCACACAAUUGGUGCCUCUUGCCUUGAUUACAAUGGAGUUUUGAUCACAAGAACAAGUGAGAAAGAAAAGAAGCAAUCCAAGCGCAAGAGCUCAAAUGAAUACGGCAAAUCACUCUCACUAGUCACUAGGGUUUUGUGUGGAAUUGGAGAGGAUUUGAUCUCUUUGAAUGUGUCUAGAAUUGAAUGCCUAGCUCUUGUAAGUGGUUGAGAAGUAGAAAACUUGGAUGCAAUGAAUGGUGGGGUGGUUGGGGUAUUUAUAGCCCCAACCACCAAAUGUGGCCGUUGGGAACCUGUCUGUUCGAUGGCGCACCGGACAGUCCGGUGCACACCGGACAGUCCGGUGCCCCCUGCCACGUCAUCACUGCCGUUGGAUUCUAGCCGUUGGAGCUUCUGACUUGUGGGCCCGCCUGGGUGUCCGGUGCACACCGGACAUGUACUGUUUGAUGUCCGGUGCACCGGUAUGGGCGUGCCUGACGUCUGCGCGCGCUGCGCGCGCAUUAAAUGCACCGCAGGGAGCCGUUGGCGCCGCAGGGAGCCGUUGCUCCGCUGGCACACCGGACAGUCCGGUGAAUUUUAGCGGGGCGGCUGCCGCGCGAACCCGAGGCUGACGAGUUCCGGAGACCGCGCUUCCUUGGAGCACCGGACAUGUCCGGUGCACACCGGACAGUCCGGUGAAUUAUAGCGCGCCGGCUUCCGAGAAAUCCCAAGGGCGAGGAGUUUGAGUUGGUGUCCUCUGGGCGCACCGGACACUGUCCGGUGCACACCGGACAGUCCGGUGCCUCCAGCCAGAGGUGCCCUCGGUUGCCUCAUUGCUCCUUUGUUGAAUCUAACACUUGGUCUUUUUAUUGGCUGAGGGUGAACCUUUUACACCUGUAUAAUCUACACACUUGGGCAAACUAGUUAGUCCAAAGAUUUGUGUUGGGCAAUUCAACCACCAAAAUUAUAUAGGAACUAGGUGUAAGCCUAAUUCCCUUUCAAUCUCCCCCUUUUUGGUGAUUGAUGCCAACACAAACCAAAGCAAAUAUAGAAGUGCAUAAUUGAACUAGUUUGCAUAAUGUGAGUGUAAAGAUUGCUUGGAAUUGAGCCAAUAAAACUACUUACAAGAUAUGCAUGGAAUGUUUCUUUCUUAUUUAGCAUUUUGGACCACAUUUGCACCACAUGUUUUGUUUUUGCAAAUCCUUUUGUAAAUCUAUUUCAAAGAUCUUUUGCAAAUAGUCAAAGGCAAAUGAAUAGGAGUUUGCAAAAGCAUUUUUAAGAUUUGAAAUUUUCUCCCCCUGUUUCAAAUGCUUUUCCUUUGACUUGACAAAACUCCCCCUAAAGGAGAUCCACCUCUUAGUGAUCAAGAGGGUUUUGAUAUAUAUUUUUAAAAAAAAACUACUUUCUUCCCUUUUGAACACAAUAGGAUACCAAUUGAUAAAUACUUUUGGAAAACACUAAGUUUUUGAAAUUGGUGGUGGUGUGGUCCUUUUGCUUUGGGCUCAUUUCUCCCCCUUUUUGGCAUGAAUCGCCAAAAACGGAAUCAUUAGAGCCCUCGAAGUAAUUUCUUCCCCUUUGGUCAUAAGUAAAUGAGUUAAGAUUAUACCAAAGACGAAGUCCUUUUCUUUGAUGCUCAUUUCUCCCCCAAAGAAUAGAGAGAUGGUUGGAGUGAUGGCGAAGGAUGAGUUACGAAGUGGAAGCCUUUGUCUUCGCCGAAGACUCCAAUUCCCUUUCAAUAUACCUAUGACUUGGUUUGAAAUAGACUUGAAAACACAUUAGUCAUAGCAUAUGAAAGAGAUAUGAUCAAAGGUAUUCAAAUGAGCUAUGUGUGCAAGCUAGCAAAAGAAAUUUCUAGAAUCAAGAAUAUUGAGCUCAUGCCUAAGUCUGGUAAAAGAUUGUUCAUCAAGUGGCUUGGUAAAGAUAUCGGCUAAUUGAUCUUUAGUAUUAAUGUAAGAAAUCUCGAUAUCCCCCUUUUGUUGGUGAUCCCUGAGAAAAUGAUACCGAAUGGCUAUGUGCUUAGUGCGGCUAUGCUCGACGGGAUUGUCGGCCAUUUUGAUUGCACUCUCAUUAUCACAUAGCAAAGGGACUUUGGUUAAUUUGUAACCGUAAUCCCGCAGGGUUUGCCUCAUCCAAAGCAAUUGCGCGCAAUAAUGACCUGCGGCAAUAUACUCGGCUUCGGCGGUGGAAAGAGCGACCGAAUUUUGCUUCUUUGAAGCCCAUGACACCAAGGAUCUUCCCAAGAACUGGCAAGUCCCCGAUGUGCUCUUCCUAUUAAUCUUACACCCUGCCCAAUCAGCAUCCGAAUAACCAAUCAAAUCAAAAGUGGAUCCCCGAGGGUACCAAAGCCCAAACUUAGGUGUGUAAGCCAAAUAUCUCAAGAUUCGUUUUACGGCCGUAAGGUGGGAUUCCUUAGGGUCGGAUUGGAAUCUUGCACACAUGCAUACGGAAAGCAUAAUGUCCGGUCGAGAUGCACAUAAAUAAAGUAAUGAACCAAUCAUCGACCGGUAUACCUUUUGAUCCACGGACUUACCUCCCGUGUCGAGGUCGAGAUGCCCAUUUGUUCCCAUGGGUGUUUUGAUGGGCUUGGCAUCCUUCAUUCCAAACUUGCUUAGGAUGUCUUGAGUGUACUUCGUUUGGCUGAUGAAGGUGCCCUCUUGGAGUUGCUUCACUUGAAAUCCUAGAAAAUACUUCAACUCCCCCAUCAUAGACAUCUCGAAUUUCUGUGUCAUGAUCCUACUAAACUCUUCACAUGUAGACUUGUUAGUAGACCCAAAUAUAAUAUCAUCAACAUAAAUUUGGCAUACAAACAAGUCAUUUUCAAGAGUUUUAGUAAAGAGUGUAGGAUCGGCCUUGCCGACUUUGAAGCCAUUAGCAAUAAGGAAAUCUCUUAGGCAUUCAUACCAUGCUCUUGGGGCUUGCUUGAGCCCAUAAAGCGCCUUAGAGAGCCUAUAAACAUGAUUAGGGUACUUACUGUCUUCAAAGCCGGGAGGUUGCUCAACAUAGACCUCUUCCUUGAUUGGUCCAUUGAGGAAGGCACUUUUCACAUCCAUUUGAUAAAGCUUAAAGCCAUGGUAAGUAGCAUAGGCCAAUAAUAUGCGAAUUGACUCAAGCCUAGCUACGGGUGCAUAGGUUUCACCGAAAUCCAAACCUUCGACUUGGGAGUAUCCCUUGGCCACAAGUCGUGCUUUGUUCCUUGUCACCACACCAUGCUCAUCUUGCUUGUUGCGGAAGACCCAUUUGGUUCCUACAACAUUUUGGUUAGGACGUGGAACUAAAUGCCAUACCUCGUUCCUCGUGAAAUUGUUGAGCUCCUCUUGCAUCGCCACCACCCAAUCCGAGUCUUGGAGAGCUUCCUCUACCCUGUGUGGCUCAAUAGAGGAAACAAAAGAGUAAUGUUCACAAAAAUGAGCAACCCGAGAUCUAGUAGUUACCCCCUUAUGAAUGUCUCCGAGGAUCGUGUCGACGGGGUGAUCUCGUUGGAUUGCUUGGUGGACUCUUGGGUGUGGCGGCCUUGGUUCUUCCUCAUCCUCCUUAUCUUGAUCAUUUGUAUCUCCCCCUUGAUCAUUGCCAUUAUCUUGAGGUGGCUCAUCUUCUUGAUUUUGUCCUUCAUCAACUUGAGCUUCAUCCUCACUUUGAGUUGGUGGAGAUGCUUGCAUGGAGGAGGAUGGUUGAUCUUGUGCAUGUGGAGGCUCUUCGGAUUCCUUAGGACACACAUCCCCAAUGGACAUGUUCCUUAGCGCUAUGCAUGGAGCCUGUUCUUCACCUAUCUCAUCAAGAUCAACUUGCUCUACUUGAGAGCCGUUAGUCUCAUCAAACACAACGUCACAAGAAACUUCAACAAGUCCUGAGGACUUGUUAAAGACUCUAUAUGCCCUUGUGUUUGAGUCAUAACCAAGUAAAAAGCCUUCUACAGUUUUAGGAGCAAAUUUAGAUUUUCUACCUCUUUUAAUAAGAAUAAAGCAUUUGCUACCAAAAACUCUAAAGUAUGAAAUGUUGGGCUUUUUACCGGUUAGGAGUUCAUAUGAUGUCUUCUUGAGGAUUCGGUGAAGAUAUAACCGAUUGAUGGCGUAGCAGGCGGUGUUGACCGCUUCGGCCCAAAACCGGUCCGGUGUCUUGUACUCAUCAAGCAUGGUUCUUGCCAUGUCCAAUAGAGUUCGAUUCUUUCUCUCCACUACACCAUUUUGUUGUGGCGUGUAGGGAGAGGAGAACUCAUGCUUGAUGCCCUCCUCCUCAAGGAAGCCUUCAAUUUGUGAGUUCUUGAACUCCGUCCCGUUGUCGCUUCUUAUUUUCUUGAUCCUUAAUCCGAACUCAUUUUGAGCCCGUCUCAAGAAUCCCUUUAAGGUCUCUUGGGUUUGAGAUUUUUCCUGUAAAAAGAAUACCCAAGUGAAGCGAGAAUAAUCAUCCACAAUAACAAGACAAUACUUACUCCCGCCGAUGCUUAUGUAAGCAAUCGGGCCGAAUAGAUCCAUGUGGAGUAGCUCAAGCGGCCUGUCGGUCGUCAUGAUGUUCUUGUGUGGAUGAUGGACUCCAACUUGCUUCCCUGCCUGGCAUGCGCUACAAAUCCUAUCUUUCUCAAAAUGAACAUUUGUUAAUCCUAAAAUGUGCUCUCCCUUUAGAAGUUUAUGAAGAUUCUUCAUCCCAACAUGGGCUAGUCGGCGGUGCCAGAGCCAACCCAUGUUAGUCUUAGCAAUUAAGCAUGUGUCAAGUUCAGCUCUAUCAAAAUCUACUAAGUAUAGCUGACCCUCUAACACACCCUUAAAUGCUAUUGAAUCAUCACUUCUUCUAAAGACAGUGACACCUACAUCAGUAAAAAGACAGUUGUAGCCCAUUUGACAUAAUUGGGAAACAGAAAGCAAGUUGUAAUCUAAAGAAUCAACAAGAAAAACAUUGGAAAUAGAAUGGUCAGGAGAUAUAGCAAUUUUACCAAGUCCUUUGACCAAACCUUGAUUUCCAUCCCCGAAUGUGAUAGCUCGUUGGGGAUCUUGGUUUUUCUCAUAUGAGGAGAACAUCCUUUUCUCCCCGGUCAUGUGGUUUGUGCACCCGCUGUCGAGUAUCCAACUUGAGCCCCCGGAUGCAUAAACCUACAAAACAAUUUUAGUUCUUGACUUUAGGUACCCAAACGGUUUUGGGUCCUUUGGCAUUAGAAACAAGAACUUUGGGUACCCAAACACAGGUCUUGGAGCCCUUGUGUUUGCCCCCAACAAAUUUGGCAACUACCUUGCCGGAUUUGCUAGUAAGCACAUAAGAUGCAUCAAAAGUUUUAAAUGAAAUGGCAUGAUCAUUUGAUGCAUUAGGAAUUUUCUUCUUAGGCAACUUAGCAUGGGUUGGUUGCCUAGAACUAGAUGUCUCACCCUUAUACAUAAAAGCAUGAUUAGGGCCAGAGUGAGACUUCCUAGAAUGAAUCUUCCUAAUUUUGCUCUCAGGAUAGCCGACAGGGUAUAAAAUGUAACCCUCGUUAUCCUGAGGCAUGGGAGCUUUGCCCUUAACAAAGUUACACAAGUUCUUAGGAGGGGCAUUAAGUUUGACAUUGUCUCCCCUUUGGAAGCCAAUGCCAUCCUUGAUGCCAGGGCGUCUUCCAUUAUAAAGCAUGCUACGAGCAAAUUUAAAUUUCUCAUUUUCUAAGUUGUGCUCGGCAAUUUUAGCAUCUAGUUUAGCUAUAUGAUCAUUUUGUUGCUUAAUUAAAAUCAUGUGAUCAUGAAUAGCAUCAAUAUCAACAUUUCUACACCUAGUACAAAUAGUGACAUGUUCAAUGGUAGAUGUAGAUGUUUUGCAAGAAUUAAGUUCAACAAUCUUAGCACGAAGUAUAUCAUUCUUAUCUCUAAGAUCGGCAAUUGUAUCUUUGCAAACAUCAAAAUCUUGGGCCUUAGCAAUCAAAUUUUCAUUCUCUAAUCUAAGGCUAGCAAGAGAAAUGUUCAAUUCUUCAAUCCUAGCAAGCAAAUCAUCAUUAUUAUCUCUAGGAGUGGAAAUUGAAACAUUACAAACAUGAGAAUCAACCUUAGCAUUUAAACUAGCAUUUUCAUGUCUAAGGUUGUCAAUCAUUUCACGGCAAGUGCUUAGCUCACUAGAUAAUUUUUCACAUUUUUCUACUUCUAGAGCAUAAGCCUUUUUAACCUUAACAUGUUUUUUGUUUUCUUUAAUUAGACAAUCCUCUUGGGAAUCCAAAAGGUCAUCCUUUUCAUGAAUAGCACUAACCAAUUCAUUUAAUUUUUCCUUUUGAGCUAUGUUAAGGUUGGCAAAAAGGGAACGCAAAUUAUCUUCCUCAUCACUAGCAUUGUCAUCACUAGAGGAUUCAUAUUUAGUGGAGGAUUUAGAUUUAACCUUCUUUUUGCCGUCCUUUGCCAUGAGGCACUUGUGGCCGACGUUGGGGAAGAGGAGUCCCUUGGUGACGGCGAUGUUGGCGGCGUCCUCGUCGUCGGAGGAGUUGCUUGAGCUUUCGUCGGAGUCCCAUUCCCGACAAACAUGGGCAUCGCCGCCCUUCUUCUUGUAGUAUCUUUUCUUCUCCUUUCGCCUCCCCUUCUUGUCGUCACCUCGGUCACUGUCACUAGAUAUAGGACAUUUAGCAAUAAAAUGACCGGGCUUACCACACUUGUAGCAAACCUUCUUGGAGCGGGACUUGUAGUCUUUCCCCCUCCUUUGUUUGAGGAUUUGGCGGAAGCUCUUGAUGACGAGCGCCAUCUCCUCAUUGUCAAGCUUGGAGGCGUCUAUUGGUUGUCGACUUGGUGUAGACUCCUCCUUCUUCUCCUCCGUUGCCUUGAAUGCAACGGGUUGGGCUUCGGAUGAGUCGCCAAGCUCGUUGAUUUUCCUCGAGCCUUCUAUCAUGCACUCAAAACUUACAAAGUGCCCGAUAACUUCCUCGGGGGUCAUUUUAGUAUAUCUAGGAUUACCACGAAUCAAUUGAACUUGAGUGGGAUUAAGAAAAAUGAGAGAUCUUAAAAUAACAUUUACCACUUCGUGAUCAUCCCACUUCUUGCUCCCGAGGUUGCGCACUUGGUUCACCAAAGUCUUGAGCCGGUUGUACAUGUGUUGUGGCUCCUCUCCUUUGUGAAGCCGGAACCGACCGAGCUCCCCCUCGAUCGUUUCCCGCUUGGUGAUCUUGGUGAGCUCGUCUCCCUCGUGCGCGGUUUUGAGUACAUCCCAAAUCUCCUUGGCGCUCUUCAACCCUUGUACUUUGUUAUACUCCUCUCUACUUAGAGAGGCGAGGAGUAUUGUUGUUGCUUGAGAGUUGAAGUGCUCGAUUUGGGCCACCUCAUCCUCAUCAUAGUCCUCAUCCCCUACGGAUGGUACCUGCGCGCCAAACUCAACAACAUCCCAUAUGCUUUUGUGGAGCGAGGUUAGAUGAAAUCGCAUUAAAUCGCUCCACCUAGCGUAAUCUUCACCAUCAAAAGUUGGUGGUUUGCCUAAUGGGACGGAAAGUAAAGGUGUAUGUUUGGAAAUGCGAGGGUAGCGUAGGGGGAUCUUACUAUACUUCUUGCGCUCUUGGCGCUUAGAAGUGACGGAGGGCACAUCGGAGUCGGAGGUAGAAGUUGAUGAAGUGUCGGUCUCGUAGUAGACCACCUUCCUCAUCCUCUUGUGCUUGUCGCCUUUCCGAUGCGGCUUGUGGGAAGAAGAUUUUUCCUUCUUCUCUUUGUGGUGAGAAGAAGAUUUCUUCUCCUUCCCUUUGUUGGAGGAGCUCUUCUUCUUCUCCCUCCUUUUGGUGCGGGACUCUUCCGAUGAAGUGCUCCCGUGGCUUGUAGUGGGCUUUUCGCCGGUCUCCAUCUCCUUCUUGGCGUGAUCUCCCGACAUCACUUCGAGCGGUUAGGCUCUAAUGAAGCACCGGGCUCCGAUACCAAUUGAUAGUCGCCUAGAGGGGGGUGAAUAGGGCGAAACUGAAAUUUUCAAAUAUAAACACAACUACAAGCCGGGUUAGCGUUAGAAAUAUAAACGAGUCCGCGAGACAGGGCGCAAAACAAAUCGCGAGCAAAUAAUGAAGUGUGACACACGGAUUUGUUUUACCGAGGUUCGGUUCUCUCAAACCUACUCCCCGUUGAGGAGGCCACAAAGGCCGGGUCUCUUUCAACCCUUCCCUCUCUCAAACGGUCCCUCGGACCGAGUGAGCUUCUCUUCUCAAAUCAAAGCCGGGAACAAAACUUCCCCGCAAGGGCCACCACACAAUUGGUGCCUCUUGCCUUGAUUACAAUGGAGUUUUGAUCACAAGAACAAGUGAGAAAGAAAAGAAGCAAUCCAAGCGCAAGAGCUCAAAUGAAUACGGCAAAUCACUCUCACUAGUCACUAGGGUUUUGUGUGGAAUUGGAGAGGAUUUGAUCUCUUUGAAUGUGUCUAGAAUUGAAUGCCUAGCUCUUGUAAGUGGUUGAGAAGUAGAAAACUUGGAUGCAAUGAAUGGUGGGGUGGUUGGGGUAUUUAUAGCCCCAACCACCAAAUGUGGCCGUUGGGAACCUGUCUGUUCGAUGGCGCACCGGACAGUCCGGUGCACACCGGACAGUCCGGUGCCCCCUGCCACGUCAUCACUGCCGUUGGAUUCUAGCCGUUGGAGCUUCUGACUUGUGGGCCCGCCUGGGUGUCCGAUGCACACCGGACAUGUACUGUUUGAUGUCCGGUGCACCGGUAUGGGCGUGCCUGACGUCUGCGCGCGCUGCGCGCGCAUUAAAUGCACCGCAGGGAGCCGUUGGCGCCGCAGGGAGCCGUUGCUCCGCUGGCACACCGGACAGUCCGGUGCACACCGGACAGUCCGGUGAAUUUUAGCGGGGCGGCUGCCGCGCGAACCCGAGGCUGACGAGUUCCGGAGACCGCGCUUCCUUGGAGCACCGGACAUGUCCGGUGCACACCGGACAGUCCGGUGAAUUAUAGCGCGCCGGCUUCCGAGAAAUCCCGAGGGCGAGGAGUUUGAGUUGGUGUCCUCUGGGCGCACCGGACACUGUCCGGUGCACACCGGACAGUCCGGUGCCUCCAGCCAGAGGUGCCCUCGGUUGCCUCAUUGCUCCUUUGUUGAAUCUAACACUUGGUCUUUUUAUUGGCUGAGGGUGAACCUUUUACACCUGUAUAAUCUACACACUUGGGCAAACUAGUUAGUCCAAAGAUUUGUGUUGGGCAAUUCAACCACCAAAAUUAUAUAGGAACUAGGUGUAAGCCUAAUUCCCUUUCAGGUUUCAACUCCAGGGUCAUGGGGACGUGGAGCUUGAUGUUGAUGGUGGCAAAGGGGCAGAGGACAGGAGCAGAAUCGGCAGCAUCGGAGAUGGUGCUCAUGGCGCAGGGAAGGGGAAGGAGAGGGCAGACGGCGCGGUCUGGUUAAGGCGGCGCGGCUGGAGGAGAGAAGGUGAGGGGGGGGGGUUGGGAAAUUAGAUCGAUGCCUGGGUCUCUGAUACCAUGUAGAGAAACAGGAUUGAGGGCAAUUGGCCACACCUCAAUGAGAGGGGGCACCUUCUAUUAUAUAGAGCUGGCUGGCCUGCUUUACAAGGCAGGGAUAAUUCCCCUGAUUUAUCCCUGAUUUACAUCUGCUAUAUCUAGCAACUAAUCCCUGAUUUACAUCUGCUAUCUAUAGCAGCUAGGAUUCUAUCCCUGAUUUACAUCUGCUAUCUAUAGCAGCUAGGAUAUCCACAGAUGACAUAUUCUAUUGCCUAACAUUAACUGUAUUUCUCUGAAUCCCCAAAACUCUAACCCUAACUCUGAAACCCGAGCACAUAAAUAAGGGAAAGGAGGAGUGUCUUUAUCUAGCCGUCGACAAGCCAUGGAAGAGCGUAGCACGACCAACGGUCUUGUGCACGAUGAUGCACAUGGGCCUUAGGGCACCACCGAGUGACCGCUCGAUGGUAACAGUGGCGAGGGGCCUCAUGGACAGGGCCAGUACUCCACCAUACUCGCUCGCUUACUAGAGAUGGGGGGAAGAAGGCGGAAGAGAGAGAGAGAGAGCGCUACGCGAGGAGGAGAGAAUAAUGAAUUACGGUUUUCACCCUCGAUCGAAUUUUUUUGAUUUUUAUACGUAGUGUAAGUUAUGAAAUUAAGCGACCAAGAAAUUAAGUUUUAAGUAUAAAUGAGUAAGUAUGAGAUCAAGACAGAGAAUAUUAGGUUGAUCUUAUUUGGCUCAGUCAAACGACCAAGUCGGACUUACCUCCCGCACCCUGAAUCUGAUAAGGAGUGCAACUAUUUUUUGGUUGCAGCUCCCUUUCACAUUGUCAUUAUAGUUGUCUUCGAUGCUGAUCGUUACCACCCUAAUAGUGUCCUCUACCAACAUAAACAUAGAAGGUAUAACCUUCAUGUUUAUGUGUACGUAGUGGCUAGAGUUUACGAGCAAGGUCUCUCUGUGGUCUAAGAGAUGGAAGAUGCCCAGGACAAUCACGCAACCAAACGCUUUCAGAGUGCCAUUGAUCUGCGUGCAAGGUCAUGACUCAGGAGACUACGAAAACCAAUUGGUACCAGUUGACAUGUUGACAGCGAUUGUAUACUGACCAACUGCAAGACGAUGCGGAUGCGGAUGCGGAUGCGGAUGGGGCUUGGAUCAUAAAGCUUCACAACUUCACAAGACAAUCCAUCGCGUGCGAUGUCUCUAGCGUUAGCUAGGGAGAGCAGCUGGCGCAAACUAAGCGCGAGAAUGAUCUCUGAGAUAAUAGCACGCAAAGGUGCUGUUGCCUGCUCGCCAAGUAAACUGGACUUGCAAGCAGAGAUUUCAUGGCUCUGAAGUCAGAUGAAAGGACACGCUUAACUGCACUCGCAAGCAUACGUUCUGAAAUGUCUUCAGGAGCUUUCUCUGCUAGGAAUGGCCGAAUGGGCUUACCACGAACGCGUGGAAGUUGGCGUAGACCCGUACAGGCAAACUUUAGGCCCAGAUAGAGAAACAGGCCAGUAGGCCACAGAGAUUCUCGUGGGACAGACAGUGACGCACCCAUCCCCACUAGCAAUGGGCCACCGUCUCUUUGUUUCGUCGAGAUGCGCCACUAUAGUUAUAGGUUUCGCUUUUCGCGGUUGACAAACCAUAGGUUUCGCUGUUACUAGUAAAACAGAGUGAUCAACAGUUCAGCAUUCUACCAAGCCCCAACGGCCCAACCCAACUGUACGCCAUAUGGCUGGGAUUCUACAAAAUCAACCUAAUCUACCUAGCUAGCUAGGAGUACCAAACAAUACCCUCCUCACAAAUCACUCUGGUUCACUCACUCAUGUAUCGUUCCCUUAUACACUCUGCACUGCGCCUACCGGCCAUCAGUGGUGAAGGAUAUGGAGAUGGAGUUCCGGGACUCGUCCUCGGCGACACUGGCCAGCAGCGCAGAGGCCCUGGUCGUGUUCGUGUCGGUGCCGAACCCGAACGUGCUGGUGGUGUUGGUGGCGCUCGACGCCGACGCGGACCCUGAGGCCGUCGUCGUCGCUGCCGUCCACCGGCCGGUCCUGCCGUGUACGGCCGGCUUCCCGGGCCUGGGCAGCGUGAACGAGUCGCUCGACAGCAUCAGGUGCACGCUGUGCAUGUCGGGCCGGUCCGACACCGCGGCCUGGCAGCACAGCAGGCCGAGCUGGAUGCACAGCAGCGCCUGAUCGCUGUCGGGGCUGGACAGCGACGGGUCCACGAUCUCCAGGGACCGUCCUUCUCCGAAUAGCUUCCAUGUCUGAAAUUAAAAAAAAAGAGGUUCAGUAGAUUCUGCAAUAGCUUCUCUUUCUGACGAGGAGAUCCGGUCGAGGAGCGCUCACAUAGCUCAACAGGUCGACCUUCUCGUCGUCCAGAUGCCGGACGAUGUUCUUCCGCCCGCUCACGAUCUCCAGCACCAGGAUCCCGAAGCUGAAGACGUCGGUCUUGGCGGACAGGUAGCCGUUCAUCGCGUACUCUGGAGCCAUGUAACCACUGCGACUAGUCACGUACGGCACCUGCACGGGCAUAGGCUGUGCCGAUAUGAUACAAAGCAAGACAAGGGAACCCGUCCCAACUCACUAUGUGCCGGAGAUCCUGAACGUGUUCACGUGCGUGGCGUCCUCCAGGAAGAGCCUCGCCAUGCCGAAGUCCGAGAUCUUCGGGUUCAGCUGGUCGUCCAGGAGCACGUUGCUCGCCUUGAUGUCUCGGUGGAUGAUCUUUACCGGAGACUCUUCGUGCAGGUAGAGGAGCCCUCUUGCCAGUCCCACGAUUAUAUGGUACCGUUUUGGCCAAUCUAGCGCCGCACACUUAUUCCUGUCUAGAGUCGUCCAAGGAUCGGAACAUAAUAAUGUCCAUGUUAGAGAAAGAACUGAUUUUCAGUCUUAUCCAAAUCUACAUAAUGCCCAUGUAAUUUCAGAUUUUCAGUGCGCAAAUAAUGAAAUUCAGUUUUACCGUUGAGGGAAAAAAAAGGUAGGUGACAAUCGGCACAUAGUGCACUUGUCUAGGAGUAUUACCAUUUCUCCUUUCUAUAUGUAUGUAUAUCUUUCAUAAAGCUCAGUUUUGUUUGAUCUGUUCACAUAAAUGCUUCUGGUGACAAGAAGUCCUAACCAAAGGAAUGGUCAAUGAAAUGAACAUUUAGGUCAAAACUGAUGUGAUGUGUUGAGCCUUUGAGGUUAAGAAAUAAACCAAGUAGCUUUCAUAUGGUUAAUGUCAACAGAUUACUAGUAACUGGAAACAGCUGCUAUAGAAAGUCCAUAGCUGAGUCACUUGAAAGACUUCUUACAGAAUACAGACUGACCACACCACUGGAUUAGCAACACUGAAUAUAACCUCGAUUGUAUUUGACUUGCCACGAAAGUAUGAAACCUCCUGCCUGUCACGUACCAGCCUAAACGUUUUUUUAGAAAGAAAAAAAAAACUAGCAAAGUGUCUAUGUCGUUAGGGUUUCCAUUUAUGCUUGAAUGUUUGAGUAUAGAGUAUAAAGCUCAAAGACAUGUGUCCUAUUGGCUAGGUAUGAGCAGGGAUUACCUUUUCGUUUACAAAUUUCAAAAACCGUUUUAUUGACCAUUUUUUUACUUUUAUGUUUUCAAAUUCUAAACCGAAAAAUAUAAUUUCUCGGUAAGUAUCAGUAACGGUAAAUUUUACCGGUACUUACCAGCCGAGAUUGCAAACCGUGGGUAGGAGUGAAUGUGGUUUUGGAGCCAACAACUAUUGUUUGAAUCCAUAUUUAACUGAACUGAACUGGUUCAGUAACUAAGAUGAGGGUUUCAUGAACGUGCAGUGAGAAAACAAUCAGACUAAGAUUAAAAUGCUUAUUAUCCACACAUAAUCAACAAUAGCAUGAUGCAACCAAUUCAGAACAAACCAAAGAAAAGGCUCUCACCGAAGAGAGUGUGGUCGAGGCUGCUAUUGGGGAAGUAGGGAUAGACGAGCAUCUUGUGGCCGGAGGAAGCACAGCAGCCAAGCAGGGACACCAGGUUCCGGUGCUGCACCUUGAGCAGGAGCCGGACCUCGUUCAGGAACUCGCGCACGCCUUGCCGUGACCCCAGAGACAGCCUCUUCACAGCGAUCUGCUGCCCAUUCUCCAUCACCCCCUGCAAAGGAUAGAGCGCAGGGAGUUUCCCCCCGUGAGUUUUAUCGUUGGAAAGGAGUUAUGUUCUUUCCCUGGAAAGAAAGAUACAGUAUCAGUAUGUUUAUCUAAAGAAACUUCAAUGCUGAAUGCAAAAUAACACUUUCAUAUCGAGAGUUCGAGACAUAGUGUUUUAUCCGCGGCAGAUCAUAUAAAAUACAGUAGAUGAUUUAGACUGUAUGUCGAAGUCGGAGACAGCGUUAACAGGUGUUAUAGUGGGCCGGAGAUAUGCGCCGAAUUUGAUCUGAAAUGCAGUUGUCUGCCCAAACAGGUAAUAAUAGCGUCGGACAGAAGCAGAGAGUAAAGAAAAACAAAUUCCGGAGCAAUUCUUUUAAUUAAUCAGUUAUUAUAUAGUAGAUGACCAAGGUACACAGGAUAAAACAGAUUGGCCGGCCAGCCAACUGGGCUUUAGGAGAAGGUACAUAAGUACGAUAGUAUAUAGUCUUCUGAAGCAAUAAAUAAUCUAGCGAGAAAUAAAUAAGCAAAUAAAUCCUGUGAAAGGCACAAGGGACGUGUGAAGGCCGAAGUGAGGUUGCCUUGUAGACGGGGCCGAAGCCGCCGCGGCCGAGGAGGUUGUCGUCGGAGAAGCCGCCGGUGGCGGCCUCGAGGACGGGCAGGUCGAUGAAGAGGCUCCACUCGUCCCCCUCCUCGGCGGCGCGCCCCGACGCGCCGGCCGUGUCGCCCGCAGCGCCGCCGCUGGUCCGCCUCCUGCCCGCGCAGCACCCGCAGGUCCACGUCCACGACCGCGCCGCGGCCGGCAUCCCCACCACCACCUAACAAGCAGAGCCGCGUGAAGCCAGCCGGAGGGCGGAGAAGCAAACAAGCAGAAGGCGGGGGCAGCCGAACACAUGUACACAACACACACCUACCUGACCUGCUGCUGCUGCGUGCUUCCGUCCCGCGCCGCGCCACCACAGACAGGACACGCGGGGGGCGAAGAGUCAGCGGACCAGCCGACGGACGGCUGGGUGGCGCGAGACGGCGUGCGUGACCGGCGGGCGGGGCGGACGGUCUCUGGUCCGGCGGUCUUGCGCAAAACACACAACACAUGUGCGGUGGUGUGCCCGUGCGGGUUUUGUCGCGGCCAAGCAGCGCAGCCAAAUCGAGGAGUUAGUUACGUGGUUUGUGCUGGUGGCCUGCGGGACCGGAAAUUUGGAAUUUACUAGUAUUGCAGAAGUAAACGGAGAUCGUGAUCGGUGGACGUAUGUUUAGGUCUGGGCCGUCGCUGUCGUCACAUUUUUUUUCAAGCGCGUUUCGGCGGGUGGCCCGGUCACUGAAUAGACUAGCAGCUCGAACCUGCCGCCGGGCCGUGGUAGCUGGCUGCAGUUGCCAGUGGAGACCCGUUCCUUCCUCUUGCCUUUGUCAAUCACCAUGCGCCUAGAACUCCCUCACUCUCUCUCUCAAAAAAACAAGAGAGAGAGAGAGAAAUUUCAUUGUCACAAAUGUCAAACAAGUACAGAUUUGAUUAAAUAAUUCAAAAACAACCGUUUUUUUAGAUACAUAAUAAAUACCACUAGAUUAAGUACAAAAUAUAUCUUUUAGAAAAUAAAAUGAAGCACACAUCAUGUACUUCGAGGAGUUAAAUAGAUCUUAAGUUUGAUAAGAUCUAUAGGUAACAAUCUUAAGGUUUAUAUUGAUAUGCUAAGUUGAUAUUAUAAAAUGCAGUAUUUUUUAUUUAGAUUUAAUUAAGUUUAAGUUUAUUUAAAUUCUUAGAGUGCGAGAUUUGGCCCCGGGUGAGGGGUGACCAAGCAGUAUUACUCAACUCUGGCUGCGGACUGGAACAGGUCUUGGAUUGUUGGUUUCAGCUGGCGGUUUGAUUUUGAAUCCUUAAAUGCUAGCUUAUUUCAACUUAUUUAUGGUUCAAUGUGAUAUUUUAUCCUCCUACACUUCCACUACAAUCUAAACCCUAGUUUAGAAACAAACACACCCUAAAAAGACAGAUAAGUUAAAAUAGAUGUCACAUCAGAUUUUAUAAUAAUGACACAUAGUUGUACUCUUUAAAUUUUACUAUAUACAUAGCUGUACUCUUUAAAUUUGUUCUAGCUUUGCCACCAUUAACCUUGCUUUCAGCUCAGGACCAAACAAGCUAGUGCGGUCAGGGGACCCAGCCACAAUCUACUUUGCAUGGCAUGUACUGUACGUUUUGGCCACCUUCUUGUUGCUCAGAGUUGACUUGACCUAGCUGUGUAGUGGGCUCACGAGAACGUACCGGAGGAAACUUCCUAAAUCCAUUUUUUUUCUUCUAUACAUGUUUUCCUUUCUAUUUUAUUAUUUUUGUUUUCUAUAAAUUCUUUUGUUUUUUCAUUUUUAAUAUUUUAUCCGAUUUUAGUUCACUAUAACCAAUUGCUUUUAUCUUAUUUUUUUAUCAUCUUGAUGUUUUAUGAUGUUGUUUUCUUUAUUCUUAUUAUAUUUAUGAGAUGUUUAGUUAAUUAUAAGAUUUCAUGCACUAUAAAUAGCACACAUAUUUAAUUAUUCACGUAGAAUUUUACAAUAUCUUUACUCUAUCACAUUAUAAUUGCGGAAUUUGUUAAUUUUCUUCUUAAUUGUUUUUUCAUGUUUUGUUUUUUUAUUUUCUACAUUAUAUGGUAUAUGAACGAUUUUCACAUAGUAUACAUAUCAUGUUUUAAGAUACAUUUACUAAUAUUUAUAUUAUAUAAUGAGAUUUUCACAUAGUAUGCAUGUGAUGUUCGCCUGGUAUGCAUAUGAUGUUUUAUGAUGUUCACGUGGUAUUAUAUGAUAUUACAUUAUUAGUAUUCACAUAGUAACUUGUUUUCCAUUUAAGUUGUUUAAUUAUUUCUAUAUAUUUUUAGCAUGUGUUGCUUGUUAUUUACUUUCAUCUUCUUUAUUUUAGUCUGAUUAUUUUAGUUUUAUGUUUUUUUUGUUUCCUAUAUUAUAUGGUAUAGAAAGGUCUUGGCACUAGAUGUCUCAGGGAAAAAACACAUGCAACCAAAACGUAUUGCACUGCCUUGUCUUAUUAAUCACACAUAAUACAUCUCUCUAGGUGAUUCAAACCUUGACGGGCCAACCUAUCCACCAUCUAGCAGCUAUUCUGGGAGGUCAACCAAACAAAGUAUUUGCAACGCGGAGAAGCCCAACUUUCUAGAUCCUACCAGCUGGCUCAAAUUGAACUGCCCUGACAAAAAAAUCUCUCAGAAACCGACUUAGAAGAAUAGACCCCAAAAGACGCAGGGGUCCAAAGGUACUGAUCUGGAACCCCCCAAGAAAGUUACAGAUCCUCCAAUAAUCAUUACUAGAAAUACUUGAAAAGGCUUUACUAGAGAGGCUACCUGCAAUGCCUCUAACCCAUCUAUGCUCUUCCAGGGUGUCUUGCAUUGUUCUAUUUUGAAUGAAUCUUUUAUAGUGUGUUUGGUUUGAGGUCAAAGUAGGAUGAGUCCGGGGCGACACUAUCCCCUCAAUUUUUUGGGAUCACGCCGCCCCUAAAAAUCACUCCGGUGUUCACCUCGCCCCUGCUUAACUCUCAACCAAACACUAUAAAAAACGUAGCCGCUCCAUUCCAUCCCUCCUUAUACAUUCAACCAAACGCACCCUUAGGCACUUGGACAGCAAGGUUUGGUGCUAUGUCAGCCAAAGAUUGUCCAUGCAAACAAGGUUCUGGCCCCAUCCCCAACCAUAGAGAUGGCUUAUUCAAUUUAUAUUAAUUUGAUAUAAUCAAUUUACAUUUACCUCAAAAUAUUGUAUUUCAUAGUGGGUGCAAGUUCUUCAAUGACGAUAAAUUCUCCGUGUGAGAAUACAGAUGGGAGAAAAGGUCGUCCACAAACGUUUGUGGAGACGGGGACAAAAAUUUUCAUCCCGUAGAGAUAGGGUCAUAGGGACAAGGAGCUCUCCUAUUGGAGUGUGCUUGCAUAUAAAAGUUGUAUAAAAUUUGAUGGUCGGCCAGCUGCACAGUGCCAGCUUGGUUGGAGCUUAAUCCCCUGGCCGGCUGGCCCCAUCGAAGGGUCCUGUCACUCUCGCAACAUGAAGGCCCUUAGGCUGGCUGCAGCGGUUGCCGCCAGCUAGCCCUCUCCCCUUACAUGGUGCCUGCAGGGGGUGCCCCACGCCUGCAGCGCUGCCCCCUGCAGGGCUCUCUACGCGCCGGCCCCUUUCUCUCUCCCUCUGGAUAUAGCGUGUCACUGUUCACACCCUCCAGCACUAGCAGUGGGUCCAUGAGUAAUUGUUAGUAGAUGAAAAAUUGAUAGUAGAUGAAAAGUAGGUAUAAGAAAUGAUAUUUUAUGGUUGUAGUGGGGUAUAGGGGAAAAAACAGGGGGAAUCGCUGCGGGAGAUAAAAACGUAGGGGAUGAAAUGUUGAUGAUAUGACGCAAAAAAGUGAUACAGGGAGGAAAAUUUAGAGGAAACCGCUGCGGAUAGCCUCAGGCUACCUGCAAUGGUGGCCGCUGGGCAACCCUCUCCCCUUGCAUGGCGCCUGCAGGGGCACCCCACGGCCGCAGCGCUGCCCCCUGCAGGGCCCCCUACACGCCGGCCCCCUUCUCUCUCCCUCUAGAUAUAACGUGUCAUUGUUCAUACCCUACAGCAAUGUUCAUUCAUAUAGCAGUGGGUCCACGACACUACAGGAAAACACUUAAUUCCCGUCGGCCAGGAACUGACGAGAAUAAGCAUUAAACCGAUGGAAAUUACUAAUUCCCGUCGGUUUAAUGCUUAUUCCCGUCGGUUGUCAGCCGACAGGCGUCAGGUGUCGGGGACAAGGUUAUUCCCGUCGGCCGCCGACGGGGAGUUAUGGCUAAUUCCUGUUGGCCAGGACAACCGACAGGAGUUAUUAAUUAAUCCCCGUCGGCCCUACCAGCCGACGGGGAUUAACUAUUAACUCCCACCGGCCAGGUCAGCCGACGGGGAUUAACUGGGCCGACGGGAGUUAAUAGUUAAUUCCCAUCGGCUAUGGUCAAACCGACGGGGAUUAACUGGGCCGACGAGAGUUAACCUAUAAUUCUGCAACAGCAACACCAAAUUAGAUAUUUCUCCACAAUCGCACACAUAACAUACACAGAACAUACACAUCACAAACAUAUGACAAAACAUAUAUAUCAUCACAUGAACAUACACAUCACAAACGCAUUGAUAUGAUUCACACAUCACAAACGCAUUGAUAUGAUUCACACAUCACAAACUUAAGAUCUAGUGUUUACACAAACAUUUCAGAUACGAGUUAAGAUCAAGUGUUUACACAAACAUAACGUCCACGAGUUAAAAAACAUAACGAGCAUGAGUUCAAGUGUUUAGAGAUAACCACCACUUGGGUGGUUAGAGCUUUGACCGCUGCUGCCACCAGGAGGAGGGAACGCG